rnacentral:lncRNA from 1 species
UGGAAAACAAGUGGGGACAGAUCGUCAGAUCGACUGGUGAAGUGUGCAUAUACAGAAUAUUGAUAAUGUGAACUACUUAUCAAGAACUUAACAUUCACUACAUCUCUAAAAAUAAUGUGAACUAGAAUAUUGAUACUACAUCACACAAUAAAAAUUGCACAGGUAAUAUAACUUGUCAGGGGCGUUAUGUAGAAGGUCGAAUGGACGUGAGCAACGGUUCAUGAGAAAUACGCAUAUAAGUGCCGAGUGUGUAGGUUCUUUGCGCUUUUUCUUAAAGCACAAACCCUCAAUGGAAACCAGAGUGUAGAGAAUUCGAGGUGGACCUAACACACUACGAGAGGGCCUAUUCACCUAUACCAACAACUUUGGUGUAGUUGAUUAGUCCCUUUUUAUUUCUACUUACUUAGUGCAAGCUUCCGGGCGGCAGAGCCACUCACGUUAAAGCAAGUCUUGAAUCCGGGCGGCUAUGCCACUCACGUUGAAACAAGACCGUUGUGAUUCCGGGCGAAUCCGCUCACGUUAAAUCACAACUUAUAUGCACUAAGUACUCAGAAAUAACAAGGCCUAACCGGGAGACUUAUAUGAACAAAGUAGUACUAUAUUGCUUUAGGAAUAUUAGUACAAGAGAGAGCAUACACACCUUACACUUGCUCACACCUUGUUCUCCACCUUCUUCACUUCUUUAUUCUCUACUACUCAAGGUGUGAGGCAAGGGCCUCUAUUUAUAGGACUACAUGGCCAUUGGAUCUUUGACAUGUGUCAAAAUCUUAGCCAUUGAUACAAAAUAUCUAAAGCCUUCCACACACUUCUACAUAAAUAUCUAGAUACUACAAGGUUUCCUAUUUAUUUAUUUUAAACUCCUAUUCUAGAAUAUUCCAAAGCUUCUUCAUGCAUAUCUAAACACUAGAAGGUUCCCUCUUUUAUUUAUUUUAUAUUCUAGAGUAUUCCAUAGUAAUGUCUUCUUUCUUGUAAUAUUGAGAACACUCUAGAAGCUUGCAUUGUAUUCUCCAACACUCCCCUCAAUGCAAAGCUUCUUUGGUGACCAUGCCAAGAGCUUCUCGAAACUUCUCGAACUUUGAUUUGUUGAGACUCUUGGUGAGGAUAUCUGCAGUCUGGUCUUCUGUCUUUGUUGGCACCAUCUCAAUUUCCCCCUUAAGGACCUUUUCUCUGAUAUAGUGGUAGUGCACCUCUAUGUGCUUUGUCCUUGCAUGGAAGACAGGAUUUUUUGCUAGCCUUAUGGUGGAUAAGUUAUCACAGAAAAUCCAUACCUGAUCUUUUGGAGUUUGAUGAAGGUCUUCCAUCAAUUGUUUAAGCCAGGUGCUUUCUUGUGCUGCCGCUGCCGCUGAUCGAUAUUCUGCUUCAGUACUUGACAGUGCCACUGUAGGUUGCCUUUUGCUGCACCAUGUUAUGGCUCCCGAUCCAAGACUGAAGAGAUAUCCAGUGGUUGAUCUCCGUGUAUCACAAUCUCCGGCAUAGUCGGCGUCGCAGUAACCAAUAACCUGGCAUUCUUUUGUUUUCUUAUAUAGGAUGCCAUAAUUUAAGGUGCCUUUGACAUACCUGAGUAUUCGCCUUAUUGCAUCAAGGUGAGGCUUCUUUGGUGUGCUCAUGUAUCGGCUUGCCACUCCAACGGCAUAGGAAAUAUCUGGCCGACUAAGUGUCAGAUAGAUAAGACUCCCGACCAGUUGCCGAUACAUGGUUGCAUCCUCCAAGUUCUUUCCUUUGUCUUCUUGAAGUCUUGCGUUAGGAUCCAUAGGAGUGGAAAUAGGUUUGCAGUCAAGCAUCCCAUACCUCUUAAGAAGGUCUUUCGCAUACUUUUGUUGGCCUAAGAAUAUCCCAUUCUUAGUGUGCUCCACCUCAAGUCCAAGGAAGUGUCUUAACUCACCAAGUUCCUUCAUUUGAAAUCUCACGGAGAGAUUUUCCCUUGUCCUUUCUAUCUCCUCGGAGUAAUCUCCCGUGAUGAUCAAGUCAUCAACAUAGACUAGAACUAUUGCUAGUCUUCCUUCCUUGGCCAUCACAAAUAAACUAGAGUCUGAUGGAGCAACUUUAAAGCCAUUGUGUACUAGGAACUCACCGAUCUUUCCAUACCAUGCUCUUGGUGCUUGCUUUAGCCCGUAGAGUGCCUUCUUUAGCUUGCAGACAUGCUCGGGGUAUUUCUUGCUCUCAAACCCCUUUGGCUGCUCCAUGUAAAUCUCCUUGUCAAGUUCUCCAUGCAGAAAGGCAUUCUUGACAUCCAUCUGCCACAACUCCCAAGACUUGCUGGCAGCUAAUGCAAGCAAGACUCGAACUGUUGUGAUUUUUGCCACCGGACUGAAUGUUUCUUCGUAAUCCAGUCCAUACUCCUGCGAGAAACCUCGUGCCACAAGUCGAGCUUUAUACCUUUCAAUUGAGCCAUCUGUUCGGGUUUUCACUUUGUAGACCCAUUUGCAGGAUAUUGGCUUUACGUCCUUUGGCUUUGGCACUAAGUCCCAUGUUUGGUUUUCCUUUAGUGCCUUAAUCUCUUCUUCCAUCGCCUUCUGCCACUCAGGGCCUCGUGCUGCUUCUUCAUAGGAAGAUGGCUCAAUAGGUAAAGACUCAUCGGCAAGAGCAGCAUUAGCGUACCUUGGAUUGGGCUUCCUGGGUCUUGUUGAUCUUCGAAGUUCUUGAUCAUGCUCCUCGGUUUGUGGCUCUUCAGGUUGGUGUAUGCCAGUCUUCCACGGACUCUUGGUCUUACUUGGUGAGCUCCUUUCUCCUUCACUUGGGGUUUCUAGCUUUUGAUCUCUUUCUUCUUCUAUAACCUCCUCCACGUCAGGUGAUUCAGGAAUCUCUUCUUUCUUAGGGGACCACCAUGAAGAAGCUUCAUCGAACACAAUGUUCCUUGAGGUGUGACAUUUACCUGUGGUUGGAUCACAACACCUCCAUCCUUUUCGAGCAUCAUCGUAACCAACGAAGAUGCACCUCUUCGCCUUCUUUUCAAACUUGGUUCUUAGGUGAUCUGGCACAAAGAUAUAGCAUACGCAACCAAAUACCUUGAGGUGGCUGAUGGCUGGUUUCAUCCUCCAAAGCUUCUCAUGUGGUGAUUUGAACCCCAACCUCACUUGUGGUAGCUUAUUAAUCACAUGAGCUGCAGUCCUCAUACACUCAGCCCAGAAUCUUCCAGGAACAUUUUUAGCAUGCAACAUACUCCGACAAGUUUCCGCAAGGUGACGAUUCUUGCGCUCCGCUACUCCAUUUUGUUGUGGAGUAUUAGGGCAAGUUAACUGCCUUUUUAUCUUAUUUUUCUUGAGAUAGAUGGUGAACUCAUUGGAUAAAUAUUCUCUCCCAUUGUCAGUGCGUAGGCACCGUAUCGUAUACUCGAGUUCACCUUCUAUCAUAUCCUUAAAUUCCUUAAAUUUCAUAAAGGUCUCAGACUUCUCCUUCAUAAAGUAUACCCAAACGUACCUUGAGAAGUCGUCGAUGAAGGUCACCAUGUAUCUCAUGCCUCCAAGUGAUAUUUGCUUGACUGGGCCAAAGACAUCUGAGUGUAUGAGCUCUAGAGGUACCUUUGACUGAUGCUGCGACUCCUUGUAUGGCAAUUGGUGGGCCUUGCCAUACUGACAUCCAGCACAGACCAUGUCUGUACGGAUAUCAAGAUCAGGAAGCCCCUUCACUACAUGCUUCUCCAUCAUCUCCUUCAACUUGUGGUAGCUGACGUGUCCAAGCCGCGCAUGCCAAAGAUCAGCCGUCUCAUUCUUUCGAGUCUUGUCUACGUAUGCUGACUCAGCAAAGAGCACAAAGAGUGAGUCUCUCUUUUUCCCUUCCAUGAUGGGUGUGCCGAUCACCUUGAGCCUUCUGAAGAUUGCUACUUCUUGUGGACCAAACAGAACAUACUUCCCUUCUGCUGUCAGUUGAGGUACUGACAACAGAUUCUUCUUCAAGCCUGGGACGUGAUAGACUCUCUCAAGUUGGAGUUGUUGAGUACCAUACCUUGGAACGGCUGUCUUUUCAACAUGGGAAAUCGAUAGCUUGGAGUUGUUAGCUGUCAGCACCAUUUUUCCUCCCUUGUACUUGGUCAUAUCUUGCAGCUUGUUGUCAUCAUUAGUCAUAUGGUUGGAGCACCCAGAAUCAACGAUCCAAUCAUCUUUAUAGUUGAUUUUUGGAUCCUUGAUUGCUGCAAGGGCUGGCGCCUCCAUGUCCUCCUCCAACUCUUCUUCAUCCGUUGCAAAGACUGGUGGCUUCAUGUCUUCCUCCAACACUUCUUCAUCCAUCGCAAAGGCUGGUGCCUCCAUAUCUUCCUCCAACUCUUCUUCAUCCAUUGCAAGGGCUGGCACCUCCAUGUCUUUCUCCAAGUCUUCUAUGUCAACCUCUUGAGAGUAUCCAGCUUCGGCGUCCCAUUCUUCUUCGCUCAUGGAUGCUUCUAGAGUGAUCUCCUCUUUCUCUUUUGUGGUGGCCACAUUCCCUUCAUAACGCCUUCUUGGAUAUCGACAUUCUCGAGUAAGGUGACCUUUCUUACCACAAUUGGAGCAUCCAUCAUUUGACCUCCUUGGAAAUCGGCAUUCUCGAGCAAAGUGACCUGCCUUGCCACAAUUGAAGCAUCCAUCACUUGGUCUCCUUGCAUUCUUCUCGUACCAUUUUGGUCCUUGUCUUUCUCGUUGGUCUCCCCCUGAAGAGUUGCUUCUCUCCUUUGGAUGUUCUUUCCCACCUUCUGUCCACUUAGGCUUGGGCUUCCAUUGUUUUUGGUGUGGGCUCUUCUUCUUAGUGAAAAGUGCCUCCUCUUCUUCCUUUAUGGUUAUGCUCCCCAUCUUCUUAGCUAACUCCUCUUGAUUUACCAAUAAAUUCUCCAACUCCACUACUGAAGGUGGAGUAGGCCAUCCCAUCACCGCAGCCAUAAACCCAUUGUAUUCGGGUCUAAGACCGUGGAUGAUGAUUCUCUUCAUCCGAGUCUCCUCACCUUCUCAUCCGGGGCAAGUUGGGAUAUCUCACGGCAAAUAAACUUCACCUUCGAAAAAUAUUGACUGAUGGAUAGAUUGCCUUGUGAGAUACCUGCGAGCUCAUUUUCCAAGAGCUGGAGCCGUGCUUCAUUUUUCCUUGAGAAUAGCUUCGCCAAAGUCUCCCAUGCCUCCUUAGGUGUCUUCUCAUCACGGAUGUGCUCCAAUAGGUCCUCUUCGAUGGUCGUCUUCAAUACAAACAUGGCCUUUCCUGACUUGAUCUUCCAUUUCCGCAAGGCAUCAGCAUUCUCUGGAGGAAAUGCUUCGGUGCCCGCAACGACCUCCCAUAGGUCUUGACCUUGUAGGUAGGACUCCAUACAGGUCUGCCAAUAGCCAUAGUUGUGGCUAUUAAGCUUCCUGAUCCCGCUGCUUGAGCUAGCAAGAUCCGCCAUGGUGACUUGCGCCCAGCGUCAAGUAAGCUUUGGUCCCGGACCAGCUUCACAGUCCUAGACUGUGCACCAGCAGAGUCUCCCCUCAGCGCCUUCUUGUUGCACCGAACAAAGCAAGCACCCCGUGCUUACAACUCUUCCUCCAAAUGACGGUCCCGGACCGCCUGCUCUGAUACCAACUGUAGAGAAUUCGAGGUGGACCUAACACACUACGAGAGGGCCUAUUCACCUAUACCAACUACUAUGGUGUAGUUGAUUAGUCCCUUUUUAUUUCUACUUACUUAGUGCAAGCUUCCGGGCGGCAGAGCCACUCACGUUAAAGCAAGUCUUGAAUCCGGGCGGCUAUGCCACUCACGUUGAAACAAGACCGUUGUGAUUCCGGGCGAAUCCGCUCACGUUAAAUCACAACUUAUAUGCACUAAGUACUCAGAAAUAACAAGGCCUAACCGGGAGACUUAUAUGAACAAAGUAGUACUAUAUUGCUUUAGGAAUAUUAGUACAAGAGAGAGCAUACACACCUUACACUUGCUCACACCUUGUUCUCCACCUUCUUCACUUCUUUAUUCUCUACUACUCAAGGUGUGAGGCAAGGGCCUCUAUUUAUAGGACUACAUGGCCAUUGGAUCUUUGACAUGUGUCAAAAUCUUAGCCAUUGAUACAAAAUAUCUAAAGCCUUCCACACACUUCUACAUAAAUAUCUAGAUACUACAAGGUUUCCUAUUUAUUUAUUUUAAACUCCUAUUCUAGAAUAUUCCAAAGCUUCUUCAUGCAUAUCUAAACACUAGAAGGUUCCCUCUUUUAUUUAUUUUAUAUUCUAGAGUAUUCCAUAGUAAUGUCUUCUUUCUUGUAAUAUUGAGAACACUCUAGAAGCUUGCAUUGUAUUCUCCAACACAG